rnacentral:misc_RNA from 1 species
AUGAGUUUGUGCUUGCACUAGUUAAAAUUCUCAUCAAUAAUGCAAGUCUAGGUACAAUCACAGCUCAUUUCCAUAUAAGAAGCUGAAAAUACGAUUUGUCAAUGUAGAUUCACAGAAACGUUGAAGAAUGCACAUAUUUGCUAACUGUGAUGCAUAAAAUGCAAAUGAAUAAUUCAGCUCUGAAACAUAUUUUAGUUUUAAUAUUGUUAGCAGUUGAACAUCUAAGCUUCUGACCUAAUCAACCAUAAAUCUACAAGAUUGAAGCCACAACUCAAAAAUCCAAUCUACUUGUUCCAAUGCUUGAUUGUGAAUGUAGAUCAACCGUCCAUCUUCAGCCAUCCAAUACCAUCAAGAAAGAACAAACAUUGCUUUAUCUACGGUUCUUGGAAAACCAAAGGAAGCAAUCACUAUGCGCGUCAAGUUACCUUUAAGUCCAAACCAUGGUCAAUGAUCUUGAGCUAUCAAAUAUCUAUCAAGAGUCUUCCAAGAAAAUCCUUGUUGAAAUUUACUUAAACAAGACAUACAUUUGGAUCUUCUUCAUCAGAGUCAAACUCAACAUUUUCAUCCUUGAACCAUUUUCCAUGACAAUCUCGCUUCCAACCUGCUUCUAUAAACUUGAGUUCUCGCUCUCUAUGCUUUCGGAAAUCCAAUUGAUGCUGUAUCAAUAACCCACUAGAUCCUUCAACUAAAGGACAUGAGAGAGUUUUCACAUCAGGAACCUGUCCCUUGCUCAAUUUCACAUCACAACUUUGGUUUCCAGAAUUUUGCCGGGGAGGUUUAUUGCAUAGUACCUCAGAAGCAGCCUUCCUUGUCUGUUCAAUUAAUGGUUUACUACUACAUGCUAACCUAACUUUUUCGUUUAAGCUAGUGUAGUCAGCAAAGCCAACAGAAGAGUCUGAUAAUGCCAAUCUCUUAUUUAUCUCGUCUUUUCUCAUAGAUUCUCUUUCCUUCAGCCUGGACUCUGCAGCAAGAUGGCGUGAUCCCUUGCAGUGCAUCUGCAAAAACAGCUCUUUUUACAAUCUGAAAACUAAUUUUACACGAAGAAACCUUCCAUCCAAAUAGAAAAGCCUAAUUGGCUCAGCCAGAAGAACCACAGGAAAUUGGACAGAAACAGACAACUGAAGAUUAAAACACUAUCAAUUAACCCCUUUUUAAAUUGCAUACGAAAUUUUAAGAUAAUGAUCCAACUGCUGAAGAUUUUCAAGCAUUGAGUAUAAUUAUGAUAAUGGAGUGCAUUGAGCGGGUCAUCACAAAAGAAAAUUCCAUAUCACACAAAAGGGUUCGGUAUUCAGCAAGUUCUAUCUAUAUCCCAUUUGGGUUUUCAGCAAGUUCUAUCUAUAUCCCAUUUGGGUUUUCAAAGAACGAAUCAAAUAACAGGAAAAGAAAAUAGAUUGAAAUUAAAGCUUAAAAGGGAAGAAGAGGAUUGAGAAGAGUAAGAAUCUAGUAUGCUUACAGAGAGCAUGAGAGGGGAAUCAAGAACGGGAUUGUGAGGACAGACAAGACAUGCGUAUUUGCCGCUGGAAAGCUUCUUGUAAGAAGAGCCGUCGAGGCCUUGUAUUGCAAGAUCAUCCACCCUUCGCUUCCUGUAUUGUGCUUCUCUUGCCCAACUGUCUCCCCCAAACACACUCAUUUCUUUCUUUGCCUUUUCUGGGAUUUUCGAUUUCGUUACUGGCGACGUUAAUUUUUCUGUUGUUGGAGAAAUAGAACUAUGCUCGAGGAUUGGCCCACUGGGCCGGCACAUAAAUUUAUUACUAACCCUAUCACAAAAAUAU